CCAUAUAGAGAGAGAGUUGCGACAACUCCAUAGACUCCAAUGGAACGGUUUUUUACAGCAAUGGCGGCUCGUGGAGCCUCUCAAUAGUUCCCGGAAGUAGCAGCCGCGCCGUAGAGUUACAGCAGAACAGACCGUUUGUGAUGCACUUUUAAAAGCACAAAGGGGAUUCAGAUCCUGAAGACUCCAUGCAAUGAUGCUGUCACCGCCAGUCUCUGCUCCUUGGAUUUUGCAAGCUUUUCCUUGCUCCUUAUUUUUAAUAAACCUUUAAUAAACAUAAAA